UUAGAAUUAAGAAAUAGUUCAAAGAUUUAGAUGAGUGCUAUCAAACAGUUGUGUGGUUUUACAAAAAUACAAAGGAAAAAGAACGCGAUAAAACAAUUCAGCAAAGAAAAUAAGAGCCGGUGACUUCAGUUGGGAGGCUGUGCCAAAGAGAACGGUGCGAGAGAGCGCCGAAACAGCAGAAAAUAAGAAACAGCAACAUAAAACAAUGCACCCGCGUAUUAUCCAAUACAUAAAUUAUAUAUUAAGAUAAUGGAUUUAACACAAAUUAAUAAUUUGCAUUCAAGCGGCGGGCUCAACCGAGUGAACUUUGGGAAUAUAUAAAAUCAGUAGUUUAAACACUGGCGAAUAAAUAUGGAAGCGAAAAUAAAACACGUCCUUGUACAACGGAGAGCGAUGUGUGAAGACAUGAUUUUUUCAAAGCACUGUUAUUAUUAUUAUAUGGUGGCGAGCCUCAUACACAACUGUUUAAUUUUCUAGGCGUCCGCCAACUUGAAACAGGAACGAAGCAAUUAAUCUUGAUUUGACCAAGCGGCGCGGAUCGUCAUAAUCCAGACGCGUAGAACGAUCCUUUCGUUCACCAAGUAAGAAUGGUGGGCCAUAAAACUGGAUUUCAGGAAGCGGCAUUUGAUCCAAAGUAGUGCCCCUGGACAAGACGUUGGUAGGAUUCUCUGCAGUCGGAACGUGAUGAUAUUCCAUAUAACAGGUGUAACGGGCCAAGGCCAAACUUUCAUCCCAAUCGAAUUUAUCUUUGCACAGUUGUUGAAGAAACACCUUGGCCAUUUUCUGACACAUCUUUAAAACCUCGGAGUGGCUGGAGCACCCAUUCGUAAUUUGACUAUUCGUAAUCGUUGGCACAACAGGCCCUGUCAAAAAAACGUGACUGAAGGCAGAUGUUGACUGUAGAUCCUUCUAAAGAAACAGCUGUAUCACCAAGGCCAGAUACAAUUGCUGCUGACCGAUAUUUCUUUGACUGCAAUUACUGGGAGACGAGAGAUCUAAUUAGGUGUAGUUGAGAGCCAGGGAACCGGCUCUGUUUUUUUACAAGAGCUAUAGCGAUGGCCAAGAGCACAACAUCAGAAUGAAAUCUCUCUUCGCAAGAGGGGCAGAUGGCUGCGAAGAUGCGGGCAAACAUGAAGCAUUUAUUUGAUGAACAGGAACUUGCAACGGCGAAUCAUUAGGGCGUAGAUGGAGGAGCGUGUGGUGUUUUCCACCGCAUAUGCGGCAGUGGCCAGAGUUGCAAGUUCGAGUGUGGUGCCUUUUAGUUUGGAAAGUUUUUUUUACUUCCUUUCGCUGUAACUUGAAGACAGAGGAGUAUUAUCCAUGACCAGGAGUAUCACAAAAGACGCGGCUACUCUGGCUGACCUGGGCACCAAGUAACGUCCGUGUGGCAGACCUUGGGGCUGCAUGGUCAUGGGCCUUGUAAGACGCUAAGGCGUGCUGAACGAUCUCCAGUUUAUGGCAUCGCCCUUCAAGGAACUUUGGAAAAUCCUCCUUGUUGGAAAUCCUAUCAAUAGAUAAGCUUUACUCUCAGUUACCUUGAGUUGCUGCAUACAAAUUUUGCACAAUCAUGUAUGCAAACAUGCAGCCUGAGAUUUGUUUUAAAUCUCCCAAGGCCUGAAGCUUUUGCGCAUGCCCAAUAAUUUUGUCUGAAAAGUCCCGCAAUCCCACAGCAGGCACAGACUCGAUCGCUUAUUCAGGAUGUCCAGUGCCACACGAUAGUUGACACCAGAUAUUUCUAAUGAGUAAACCGACUACAACGCAGCUCCAGCUAAGCAUGACCGCAAAUGUUAAAGUUUUUCUAUAUCAGCGAAGUAGGGGUGCUUAUCUAUAACCGAGAGGAAGUCAGAGUAUUCGGUGUAUUCACUGGUGAAUGUAGGCGAUUCCUAUGAACUCGAUCAACCAUGUAAGUUAAAUGAUCCAGUGAAAAAUGUUUGUAUUCGAAGCUGGCAGUUGUUACGAUAACCGCACUCUAUACUCUAAAACGCACUGUACAUCACUAAACCUUACCGUUACAAUUGUCAUAAGCCUAUUAUUUUUUUUAAAGUGUACAGUGACCGGUUGGCGAAGCUCACUGAGUUAACAAAUUAUGAUAUCAAAUAAAAUAAACUCCGCACUAUAUGUAUAUAAGCC